GGGGAUGAGUGGAUUCGACAGGGUUGGGAGGCCUGGAACUGCGAGCCGAGGUGCUAUCACCCUCGUUAAACAGGUAGCAACUCUUUUAAGUGCCAACAAGCACGAAUUUGCUCUCGCAGCCUAAAUAGCGCUGUGACGUCCACCUGCUCUUCCUCCGGUGAGCGCAGCUUGGGCGACAUAUCAGCCGGGGUGCCGCGGUCCGCCAGCCUUCGGCGACUGCGAAAGACAAACGGAGGCUAGUUUCCAGAGGUUUUCGUCCGCUCGUGCUCUGGGAAUGAAACCCAAAAGCUGACUACGCUCGUAGAGGUUGCAGGAAGAACAGCUCUGGACGGGGAGUUCGACUCUCCCCCAUCUCCACCA
rnacentral:tmRNA from 1 species